AGCGAACGCUGGCGGCAGGCCUAACACAUGCAAGUCGAACGGAUCCUUCGGGAUUAGUGGCGGACGGGUGAGUAACACGUGGGAACGUGCCCUUUGGUUCGGAACAACUCAGGGAAACUUGAGCUAAUACCGGAUGUGCCCUUCGGGGGAAAGAUUUAUCGCCAUUGGAGCGGCCCGCGUCGGAUUAGCUAGUUGGUGGGGUAAAGGCCCACCAAGGCGACGAUCCGUAGCUGGUCUGAGAGGAUGAUCAGACACAUUGGGACUGAGACACGGCCCAAACUCCUACGGGAGGCAGCAGUGGGGAAUAUUGCGCAAUGGGGGAAAGCCUGACGCAGCCAUGCCGCGUGAAUGAUGAAGGUCUUAGGAUUGUAAAAUUCUUUCCCCGGGGACGAUAAUGACGGUACCCGGAGAAGAAGCCCCGGCUAACUUCGUGCCAGCCGCCGCCGUAA
rnacentral:rRNA from 1 species